rnacentral:lncRNA from 1 species
AUCAUCUCUUUCUUUUGCACAAUAGCUUCUGAAUCGAGUUCAUCCAUGGAGGAUGCAGAUGAGAUAGGCAGCUGGAAGUUUAUGUUUGAUGAAUUUGAAUGAUAAUCUGAUCUAGGCUUUUUGGAUUUUUGAGGAUUAGACGAACGAUUCGACUGAUGAAAAUCAAGAUUUUGGUACUGUAAUCCAUUUGGUUUGAUCAGUUGACUUUUUGAUCUGCUUCUCUUGUUAGGAUUAGGCUUAUUAUUAGCACCUGAAAAACUGGAUUGAAUGAGAUAUUCAUCAGCCGAAGCUCGUGAUACUAUUUUGUUGGUGUAAUGUUUUACAAUGGAUGCAGAUGUGCCAUCUAAUUUGAUGAGGGCGCUUGAAUUUGGAUUCCAUAAGUCUUUGCAAUCAGAGAAAAGCAUGGAAAUCUUAGCCAAUCAACUGAUGUUUUGUUUUGCUGUUGGUUGCUGAUAACAAGCAAUCAAUGGAUUCUAGAGAGCCUGGAUUCGAAAUUCCAGCCUUGAUUUCUUGAAGACCACCAAAAACUUGUCGAUUUUCCAGGCCAAUUCAACACCAAGGCAAUUUUGUUGAUUAAUCAUUGUAGAAUUAGGCAUAUUAACUUCGGCAGACAUUUGGCCAUUAAUGGCGACUCCACAACUUGUCGAUUUUGGAGUCAUUGCCGACAUAUUCCAGUUCGAAGAACCCAACUGCUGAAUCAUCUCAAAUUUUUGGAGCGAUAGAAUUGGACUUAAAAAAUAGUUUGAAAGACAACCAUUCGACUUGGAAAUUAUCAGAACGGUGAAUUGUUGUGAAU